GACAGAGGAGCCAAGCGUUGUCCGGAUUGACUGGGCGUAAAGCGCACGCAGGCGGCUCGGCGCGUGGGGUGUGAAAGCUGGCGGCUUAACUGCCAGAUGCCAUCCCAUACGGCUGGGCUCGAGCCCUGCAGAGGUCCAUGGAAUUGCCGGUGUAGUGGUGAAAUGCGUAGAUAUCUGGAGGAAUACCGGUGGCGAAGGCGGCAUCCUGGACCGAGAUUGACGCUGAUGAGCGAAAGCUAGGGGAGCAAACGGG
rnacentral:rRNA from 1 species